rnacentral:rRNA from 1 species
AGAGUUUGAUCCUGGCUCAGGACGAACGCUGGCGGCGUGCCUAACACAUGCAAGUCGAACGGGGCCAGGGGCAACUCUGGUUCAGUGGCGGACGGGUGCGUAACACGUGAGGAACAUGACUUUCGGCGGGGGAUAGCCGGCCCAACGGCCGGGUAAUACCGCGUACGACCCUGUGGAGACAUCUCCGUUGGGUGAAAGCAGCAAUGCACCGAAAGAGUGCCUCGCGGCCUAUCAGCUAGUUGGUGGGGUAAUGGCUCACCAAGGCGACGACGGGUAGCUGGUCUGAGAGGAUGGCCAGCCACAUUGGGACUGAGACACGGCCCANACUCCUACGGGAGGCAGCAGUGGGGAAUAUUGCGCAAUGGGCGAAAGCCUGACGCAGCGACGCCGCGUGUGGGAUGACGGCCUUCGGGUUGUAAACCACUGUCGGGAGGGACGAAUGCGCCGCAAGGCGAGUGACGGUACCUCCAAAGGAAGCACCGGCUAACUCCGUGCCAGCAGCCNGCGGUAAUACGGAGGGUGCGAGCGUUGUCCGGAAUCACUGGGGCGUAAAGGGCGCGUANGCGGCCUGAUAAGUAGGGGGUGAAAUCCUGCGGCUUAACCGCAGGGCUGCCUUCUAAACUGUCAGGCUANAGCACGGUANAGGCAGAUGGAAUUCCCGGUGUANCGGUNGAAUGCGUANANAUCGGGAAGA